UGGAAACUGGUGUUCAUGUUCUAGG
rnacentral:piRNA from 1 species